UUUCAACAUUAUUUUAUGGGACGAAAAUACCCCCGCCUCUCCCAUUCCCACCGAAAAAGGAGAAGAAAAAGGCAGCCGCCGGCCACGGCCCGCCCCCUCUCGAGCUCCCUCCCACGCCUGCCGCCGGCCACAGCCUGCCCCCUCCCGCGCCCGCUGCCCCCUUCCGCGCCGCCGGAAAUACCUCCGCCCCCACGGUGGGGAGGUGCCGAAGAAGAGGAGCCGCUGGCCAGCCACGGCUGCCGCAGGCUGCGACUGCCCCCCCGGUGGCCCGCUCCUGCGGCCGCCACCGUCGACCCCCUUCCAUAGCUGCCGGCCUC
rnacentral:lncRNA from 1 species